UACGUAGGUGGCAAGCGUUGUCCGGAAUUAUUGGGCGUAAAGCGCGCGCAGGCGGUCCUUUAAGUCUGAUGUGAAAGCCCACGGCUCAACCGUGGAAGGUCAUUGGAAACUGGAGGACUUGAGUACAGAAGAGGAAAGCGGAAUUCCACGUGUAGCGGUGAAAUGCGUAGAGAUGUGGAGGAACACCAGUGGCGAAGGCGGCUUUCUGGUCUGUAACUGACGCUGAGGUGCGAAAGCGUGGGGAGCAAACAGG
rnacentral:rRNA from 1 species